rnacentral:lncRNA from 1 species
UGUAAACUCAUUUAUAUCAUACACCAACACGAUUGAGAUGUACAUACAGAUGUAUUGAUCAGUUACAACAAAAUCAAGAGCUCAUUCGCAUGCCCUAUGUAUAUAUUGUCAAGGUAUAGUAAUCACUUUGUUUUAAUUAAAUAAUACUAAUCAUAAAUUUAUUUCAUUUUGAUAUACUGUUGAGGUAUUGAUUAAACAUUUUAAGACCCCUUGUGCUACUGAUUGAUGAUUUUUUGUUGUUGUUGUUGUUGUGACAAAUUAAUACAGAUUGAUUAACUCUUGAUAUUGUUAAUUGGAAAUAAUUCUUCAAGCAAAAGUGUUUAAGAAAAAUUGGAUCUCGUGAUUUCAACAUCAACCAGUUUUGGAGAGUUUUGAAGUUGUCCCAAUUCUAAUUUUGGCAAAAGAG